rnacentral:rRNA from 1 species
ACUCCUACUGGAGGCAGCAGUGGGGAAUAUUGGACAAUGGACCAAAAGUCUGAUCCAGCAAUUCUGUGUGCUUGAUGAAGGCCUUCGGGUUGUAAAGAGCUUUAAGUAGGGAAGAAGAAAGUGACGGUACCUACAGAAUAAGCGACGGCUAAAUACGUGCCAGCAGCCGCGGUAAUAC